rnacentral:rRNA from 1 species
GACGAACCGUGCGAACGUUGUUCGGAAUCACUGGGCUUAAAGGGCGCGUAGGCGGCUUGCCAAGUCAGGGGUGAAAUCUUUCGGCUCAACCGGAAAAGUGCCUCUGAUACUGGCGAACUCGAGGGAGGUAGGGGUAUGUGGAACUUCCGGUGGAGCGGUGAAAUGCGUUGAUAUCGGAAGGAACGCCGGUGGCGAAAGCGACGUACUGGACCUCUUCUGACGCUGAGGCGCGAAAGCUAGGGGAGCAAACGGG